rnacentral:rRNA from 1 species
CCUACGGGAGGCAGCAGUGAGGAAUAUUGGUCAAUGGCCGGGAGGCUGAACCAGCCAAGUAGCGUGCGGGAAGACGGCCCUACGGGUUGUAAACCUCUUUUAUCUGGGAGCAAGGUGCCUGUCGUGUCCUGCUGUGAGUGUACCGGAAGAAAAAGCAUCGGCUAAUUCCGUGCCAGCAGCCGCGGUAAUACGGAGGGUGCGAGCGUUAUCCGGAUUUAUUGGGUUUAAAGGGUGCGCAGGCGGGAGCUCAAGUGUGCUGUGAAAUGUCGGGGCUCAACCCCUGCCGUGCAGUGCGAAUGGGCGUGCUUGAGUCCGCGAAGAGCAGGCGGAAUGCGUGGGGUAGCGGUGAAAUGCUUAGAUAUGACGAAGAACCGGGAUUGCGAAGGCAGCUUGCUGCAGCGGAACUGACGCUGAUGCUCGAAGGCGGGGGUAUCGAACAGGAUUAGAUACCCUUGUAGUC